AACGAACGCUGGCGGCAUGCCUAACACAUGCAAGUCGAACGAGACCUUCGGGUCUAGUGGCGCACGGGUGCGUAACGCGUGGGAACCUGCCCUUAGGUUCGGACUAACUCCCCGAAAGGGGUGCUAAUACCGGAUAAUGUCUUCGGACCAAAGAUUUAUCGCCUUUGGAUGGGCCCGCGUUGGAUUAGCUAGUUGGUAGGGUAAAAGCCUACCAAGGCGACGAUCCAUAGCUGGUCUGAGAGGAUGAUCAGCCACACUGGGACUGAGACACGGCCCAGACUCCUACGGGAGGCAGCAGUGGGGAAUAUUGGACAAUGGGCGAAAGCAUGAUCCAGCAAUGCCGCGUGAGUGAUGAAGGCCUUAGGGUUGUAAAGCUCUUUUACCCGGGAUGAUAAUGACAGUACCGGGAGAAUAAGCCCCGGCUAACUCCGUG
rnacentral:rRNA from 1 species